UGGCAGCACAACCUCCAGCUGCCAGCUUUCAACGAUUGUUUCCGUCAUCACACUGCAGGGUUAUUUCCAUCAUUAUACUGCAUUUUAUACGUGUUAAUUUUUGGUUUCAGCAGGUGCACGUGUAAGCAAGAAAACAACGACUAAUCAAAGUAGCCAUUCCUUAAGCCACGUAUCAUUUUUGUUGCUACUACUUUUCUCCUGUGUCUCCACAUUUUUUCUUUAUCCAUUUGCUUCAACUAUUUCGAAAAGCUACAAGUAAAUUUUCUGAAACUGUUACACCUACAAAUUCUUGAACUUUUCUCCUGUGUUUUUUGACAUUUUUUCCAUAUCCCUUUGCUUCGACUAUUUCCAAAAGGUACAAGUGCAACACAAAGGUUUUCUCUGUUUUUGAUCUUACUCAUAAAAGCCCUUUCAAUUUACUGAUCUUUUUGAUAGCUGAGAUCCUUCUUCUCCUUAGGUGCGUUCGUAGUUGUUACUGUUAAUCUGCUUUGUGAUUUGUUUUACACAGGGCUAAACUAUUAUUGCAAUUUACCUUUCAAUUUUUCCUUCAAUUUUGUAAUAAUCUUAACUUUUUUUCUUGCAUGUUCUUUUGACUGAUUUGAUGAUUUGUAAAGUUUAGUAUUUUGUACUUUCAGUUGUGUCUUCGUCCUACUGUUUUCCUUCGAUUUUGAGAUUUGUUUGACUGGAUUUAUUAAAUUUAGAUUUUAUUAUGAAGAAUGUAACCAACAAGUGAAGUAGAAUGAGGUACAUACUUCUCUCUCGAACUUAUUGAAUACUUUAUGGUUGGAAGAUGAAGCUGCUCGCGGGUUUCAAAAAGCUGUAAAUUCGAAACGUGGUUAAAUAUUAAUUUGUAUGAAAAAAUUGGAGUUUAGUGGAAGUAAUAGCUGAAAUAAUGCAUGAAAGGUGUUUGUCGAAAUGCUUAAUGUGCUUCCUAAUACUUUCUGAUCUUGAAAAUUCCAGGUUCACUUUUGCUUUCUCUGAUAAUCUUAAAGAUUUAAUUUUUCCAUUAUUGUAAUUUUGUUUGACUGAAGUAGCAAAUCUUGGAAGUUGGAAGCUGUGACAAAGUUCAGGUCUUGCUCUCUUAGUAGGUAAGUGCUUCACUGAUUCUGCCAAUUCUCUAAAAAAAUUCUAAGAUUUGUGUUACUGUUGUUUGGGUUUCUUGAAGUAUGGAGUACUAUUUUUUUCAUUUGGGGCUUUAAGAAAGAGUCAGUUUUUGUACCUUUUGACUAGCCAACUUUGAUUUUGUGAGGUUUUUUAUUACUUAAUAAUGGACUGUCAUCAAGUAGUCACUAUGGAAGAAUCUUUUAAGGUACGUUUUUUGAUAUAUUUUUUUGUUUCUCUUAUAUAUGAAUUGACGAAGUACAUUCUAGGGAAGUUGGAAUCUGUUAUGUUCAUGAUCGUUGCUAUCCCGUACUUGUAAUUUUGGUAGGAUUUGAAGAAAAUAUGAGCUUGUUUCAAGAUCUUAUUUAGCCUUUGCGUGGUGAAUUGUAUAUACAGCUAACUGAAGAAUAGUGUUAUAGCGGUAAAAUGUUGAAUUCUUCUAACUGAAUUUCCUAUUAGAUUAUCCUUCUUAUGGUCGUUUGGUUGAUCUGGUAUACGUACUGCGAAUUUUGUGUGCUCCCCGCUUCUUCUGUCUGAGAAAAGAAUUUUAAACAGUUAUUCCAUAGUCAGUUUUGCUAUAUUUUCUGCCCCUGUAAUCUGUUGCUAUGUCUUAAAAUUCCGUAACUAUGUACAUAUGUCAAAUCGGUUAGAGAAUAGGCAAGCUAUAAGAUGAAGGAUUUUACCUUGGGUGCUCCAAAAUUUUUAGAUUGAUCAAUUAUUGUUUGCUUAUUGUUUGCUUUUACUUUGGUUGUUGCAGGUAAAUUCAUCUGUUGCAGUGACUUUGUAAUUUGGAAAUUAAAUCAACGGAGAGGAACAACAGGUUUCCAUAGUGCUAUACGGCGAUGACAUUCUCAGAUACGACAGUUUGUUCCUUCUUUUCCACACAUAUCUUGUUUCUUGUACGAAAGUUAGGGAUCCCCGUAGUUACUCAAUACAAGCUGGUACGUACGAAUGGGUAGCUGGCAAAUACACAAUUGUUGAACCGAUUACCAACAAUGGUGGAUUGGAAGCGCCAUUGCCUGCUCCAGGAAAGUUAACCACACUUCCUUUCUCAGCGAUUGAGCAACAACACCCAGGUGUUGAAUUUGGUAACCUCCCAAUUUACAUGUUCGCUGUUUUCCCGCAUCAACUAAAUACCCAUUAGUAAUGAAGCUGUUACUCAACAUGUUACUUUCAAUUACACUAGAUUUACUGGCAGUAGUAGUUAACUGCAGCGCCCCUGCAAUACACAGCUGACCAGAGCAAACACUUUCGGGAAGCGAUUGUGAUGGAUCAAAGGCAACAAGACACCUUUUCUAUUUACCAUAUGGGAUGACCUAGCUGACAAUGAGGGAACAACCUUAUUGGAUCACCUACACGAGCAUCCAGUAAUUCUUGCCAAGCGUAUAGGCGUCACUGAAUUCCGUGGUGCUCUGAGAUUGGCAACAAGAUAUCAAACAACAAUUUUACCAAAUCCUCAAUAUGUGCAGGCAAAUACCCUGAUGAACUGGGUGAAGCAGAACGAACAAAUGUUAUCAUCUUAUAGAAGCUCCUCAUCAUCAACCUCCUCACUCAAUCUUGCACCUAUUGAAGAUCAAGUACAAUCUGUAUCCACCAUUCCAGAAUCGCUAUCUACGGUGCCACUUCAACAGAUUCGAGCGGGACAAUUACAACAACAGUGUCAGAGGUGUUAGCAGAAAGAAUAUUGUCCGUAACUGCCAACCAAAUAUAUGACAAAGUUGCAGUCCAGAAACAACCAUUGUCUAUUGCGGGUAUAAAUCAACAACUUGAUCGUAAACUGUUUAAACUCCAAUUACAAAAGUCAGCUUUCAGAUUUCCAGACCAAAAAGCCGAUACGUUAGCAGUUGCGUCAUUCACUAAAACAGAACAAACAGGGAAGAGGCAGAAAAUUGAACCAUCCACACCCGCGAAAAAGGAUUAAAGCUGUAACUAUAUAGCAACCUUUCUUCACAUUUUGCUUUAGCACUAUCCACUUCAUCAGAUGGUAUAGCAUGUACAAAUGCACUAUGUCAGCAUCAGUCUAGCAGGCUGCCUGAACUAACUUUUUGUCUUUUGAUGUAAACAACAAUAGACAUUUCAAUGUACAGCAACUGUUUUUACCCUGGCACACCCGCAUGUGUUUGUUUUUGCGCUUUGAUAUAACAAUCACAGUUUAAUGUACAAAAACUUUAUAUUAAUAGUUUUAAUAUGCAACAUCUCUCUUGCAAUAUAAA